GGUUACGAACGGUAACGGUGUUGGUGUUGAUGUCGCGUAAAGCUACACAUUUGUAUCGAAGCACUCAACGAAAAUAAGUGUCAAAAAACCUCAGUAGGAGAAAAUGGGCAAAAAAUAUUAAAAAAGUGUUAAGAAAUCAAUUAAAUAAUAAAUCGCAUAAACACACAACCAAACAAGUGGAAAACAAAAGAAACAAAGAAGAAUAACUUCAAAUAAUUAUUACAAAGUGAAUCGCAAACAAUUUAAUUAAAAGAAAACUCGUUCAAACUGGUAUGGGUAAGGUGUAUUAAUAAUCCUUCAAAAAAUAAAUAAACAUUUUUGUUAAUGAAACUUAAAAAUCAUUUAAUUUUAAUCAAAGUGAAUGCUAAAAGCGUCAGUGAGUGAAGAAACUUUUGAAAAUAUAUACAAAAGCAGAAAAAACCAAAAACAAAACACAAGAGAACCAAAAAAAGAAAAAUGUGAGCCGAAAAUAAAAGCGAAAUAAGAAGUAGAAAAUUGUUAAAAAUAAAAAAAAAAAUCCAAACGCUAGCAGUCGCAAGCGAACUCUAUUAUCAGCUUAUCAGCAAAUAACAACAACAAAAACAACGCGACGAGUCAAAAAACGUGCAUUCACAGCAAUAAAAAAAGUAGGUACCCGGAGGCAUAAACAACAUCAACAUUAAAAAUGUAUAUAUAAACACUCAGACACAUACACAUAAAAAUCCAAAAAUACCUACGUUUGUACAUCAAUUUUUUGGUGCACUGUUCCAUUCUCAUUUUGUACCCACAUGCUGUGCACAGUGGCUCACAGUUGCAUCAAUUAUAAUCAAACAAGCUAAAGCACUGGGAAAAGAUAAAACAACAGUAAAUACCAGAGGUGUGUGAUGCGAACAUAGUUAAUAAUUCCGAACAUAGUUAAUAAUUCAAAGAUAUCUAAAGUAAUAAAGUCAAAAACUCCACGCAACGAGAAUAAGGGAAUUUAAAAAUCAUAAUUUUUUCAUAUAUUCUUGAGCAGCGAAUUACCGUUACAAGCACAAAAUAAAACCUGUAAAGUCGUAGACUUUUUCUUGACGAUUUGACGCAGCAAAAGCCGCGCUUCCAUCCGUCACGUUGUUGCAUAUACAAAUGAAUAGCAAAAUCAAAAACAGAACCAGUAAAGCUAACCCAUUACAAAAAUACCAACAACAACUGCAACAAUUACAACAACGCAGCGAAGAGUUAAGCUUCAUCAAUAUACGACGUGAAAUCUUCACCUUCAAGCGCCUCAAUCACAACCCAGAUAGUAACAAUCGGGGCAGCAUAACGAGCGGCAUAAGGCUGAAACACUUGACAACAAUAACAACAACAACAACAAACGAUUUGGCAACAUUAUACGAUAGCAAACGGUGUCAACAACACUAACAAAACGUGAAACACCAGCAAAACAGCUGAGUUGAAAAAGUAAGCACAGCAGCAGAGCAGCAACAAAGCAAGAAGCAGCUAAAUUGCAAUCGAUUGCUGCAGCGCAGCAAAGAGAAAUCAGUGCAACGACAACAAGCGGUGCAAGUCGAGCGCUUGGGCACAAACCAGUUGCCGAUUUGCAAAUGAGCGACGUCUGGUGACAGUUGUUGCCGAAAUAUCAAGUGAACAAAAGAACCAAAACAAAAAAUAAGGGGAAGGAGCAGCGCCAAAGAAAAGCGUUAAGGAAAAGCUGAGGAAAAGGAGUAAAAAAAAACAUACAGAAAAAACAAAAAAAACCCACAAAAAAAAAGAAAGAAAACUGUGCAUAAAGGGCGUACAGCAAAAAGGCACAGAGCGGAAUAAACGACUCCAACCGGUUGCUAGUAGUGAGCAACAACAGCGCCGAUAAGGUAAAUAAAUACGCCGUUGCAACGGUUGAGUGCAAGCGAAGAGCAAAAAAUAAACGAAAGCAGCACGAAUAGAGAACCGCAAGUUUGAGAGUGAGCAGAGGUGAGAGGUGAGAAAAUCGAUAAGUGCGAUCGAUUGCAAUCGAAGUGAGUGUAAGUGUGUGUUAAAAGCUCGUAAAAAUUCAACGAAUUGAGUUAGUGAAGAAAAUUACACUUACUACUAGAAAAAAAAAAUAGCAACAACAAUAAGACGCAGCAUACAGCAGAAACAGAAAAGCCAAACCAAGCAUAUAAAAAAGGCACAAGGCACAUGGCGCAAGGCACAAAAGGUGCGCCCCCGUUGACCCCAUCUGUAAGGCAAAAGCAUUGUUUAUGAAAAACCAAACCUAAAUAAAUUAAAAACAAAGUUGAUUAUACUCGUAUAAAGUAAAAAAAAUAAUAAUAAUAAAAAAACCAGCGGAGAAAUUCGAUCGCGCGCGAAACAGUAAAAACAAAAAAAUAUUGUUCAAAAAAAUACAGAAAAAACGAAAAGAAAAACAAUAAAAAAGGCGCAAGUCUAAAAAUAUCACACUACGCUACAAAAGCAACAGAAGUACAUUGUCAACAAAAGCAAAAACAAUCACCAAAAGAUCGCGCACGCUCCAUUUUCAUAUACAUAUGUACGCAGUGGUCGCGUGCAACAGUUUGCAGCAACGCAGGCGUAGCUCUGCCAGCCGCGAGUAGGCUCGCCCGAUUUGGCUGAUUUUUGGUGUGUGUGCGCUUCGCUGUACAGCUGUUCGGCUUUUCAGCUCUUAGUUGUUGCUCAACCUGAACCUGAUUUUUGUUGCCUGCCAUUAGCAACAAGUCAUUGUGCGCCUCAGUUGUUGUUAAGGUUAACUGCUGAUUGCUGAUUGCAGUACAACAGCACGAAACAGUUGUUGUUGUUAUUGGUAGCGUUCAACUAUAGUUUUUGGUGGUGCUUGCUGAUUUCGAGUUUUUGAUUUUUAUUUAUUUUUGUUUGCUUGCUUUUGGCCACUGACGACUUCUUUCGAGCAACGAAAUUGUAAUUUUCUUCUUAUUCUCGAUGGUUGAUUACUACGCGGAUAUGGGACAAAUCGGU